rnacentral:lncRNA from 1 species
UCAAAAUCAUUACAACACUAAUGAAGGAUUGUAAAGCAUUAAACAUUGAAUUGUAUCAAAUUAACACUAUGAAAUGAGUAGAUUCUUACACAUAUAACAGAUUACAUAUGAUCUCCCUACAUUCUAGACUACCCUAGAUCCUACCUCCAAGAAAAGCUCAGCUCCUCAUGUUGCUUGCUUCGCGUCCUCGCUUCAACUUCAUGGCUCGAUGAUCCAUGCUAUUGAGGUGCUCGGAGCUAUCCUUUGAAGUCCUUGAUCUGGAUCUUGAUGCUUCCAAAAUCAGAGAAUGAAUGAAUAAUGCAGAAUUUUCCAACCCGAAAACAGAAUUAUGCAGAAAAUAUAUAUACAGAACGCAACCACGCCGCGCGCCAGAUCCACCACGCCGCGCGUGGUUGCAAUUCCAUCAACUGCGCCGCGCGUGGUAACAGAAUCACGCGGCGCGUGAUCAAGUCAGAGGCAAUCUUCAUCUUCAAUCAAGACUUCACGCCGCGCGUGGUAAGGUGUCACGCCGCGCGUGGUCAAGUCAGAGAGCAUCCCAGUUCCUGAACCAAGCUUCACGCCGCGCGUGGUCAAGUACCACGCCGCGCGUGAUCAGAGUGAAAAUCCUUGCUCCCUGUGAGCUCCAUCACGCGGCGCGUGAUG